GAUGAACGCUAGCGGGAGGCUUAAUACAUGCAAGUCGCACGGCAAGGAGGGGCAACCCUCCCUAGAGUGGCGUACGGGUGAGUAACACGUAUGCAAUCUGCCCCUAUCUGGGAGAUAGCCCUCCGAAAGGAGGAUUAAUACCCCAUAACAUUGCGGGACGGCAUCGCCCUCGCAAUUAAAAGCUUCGGCGGAUAGGGAUGAGCAUGCGUUCGAUUAGCUUGUUGGCGGGGUAACGGCCCACCAAGGCAACGAUCGAUAGCUGGUCUGAGAGGAUGAUCAGUCACACGGGC
rnacentral:rRNA from 1 species